rnacentral:lncRNA from 1 species
AGGUUAUUUUUCUCUCAAAUUCGUGUCUACCAACGCCCAAUUGAUUCUAGGUAACCCAACAUCCUGAGCUAUCUGCAUUAUGCUAAAGCUUCUCAAUAGGUAAGCCGUUCACGUUAUGCUGGGUAAUUGACAUUUUUUUUUUGCAUUUCUAGUGGUUUUGUCACCAAGAUUGGUACUUAUGUUCUUACUAAAAGAACAAUAACAGUGCCUUACAUGAUCGAUAAGAGGAGAAAAAGAAUUCAUUUGAAGAAUUACCCGUACAUUUAGUUGCUAGCUGAUGUAAAGCUGCUUAACACUUCCCCUAUGGCAAACUUCUAUAGUUUUCUGACUGAGAAGUCUACAAAAGGUAUUGCAAAUUGGAAACAGUGAGCUUUUGAUGCACAUAUCCAUUGAAUUUCUCAAUACUCUUCAUUUGUUAUUUUGCUCUCCAAUCAUAGUUUCUUUUUGAUAUACCUGCUGUGCGCCUGCUCCAUAAGUUGUUCAUAGCAAGCUGAUUGUCUUCUUAAUGUUUCUCCCCAUCUAUUAUUUUAAUCACUUUAUUUAAUGUUUAUGAUCCAAGGUCGAAGCUCUCAUUUAAUCGCCUUAUUUCAUUUUACAUGAUCCAAGGACCAAGCUCUCUUAGAGGUAAAUAUCAACCUUAAUUCAAUUACUUUUAUGGAAUAUCACACAUAAAUUAUUUUCAUCACACUCAGAUAGAAAGCAGAGUGGGGUUCGGAAGUUAGGAGCUUCCGUAUAAACUACAAAGUGCACAUUUUCUAUUUGAUGCCUAAACACUAGUUACAUCAGUAGGAACACGGAAAAAACCCAUAUCCAGCAG